UCGACGGCUUUUCUAGACGAAUUUUGUGGCUUCUGUGUGGACCAACGAACAACAAUCCAUCUGUUAUUGCACACAACUUCCUCAACUGUGUGAAAGGUCUUGGUGUGGUCCCCAUGAGAUUACGAACUGAUUGCGGUACAGAAAACGGGACGAUGGCAGCCAUACAAUGUACUCUUCGCCAUCAUCAUACAGACCAUUAUGCAGGCUCAGCAAGCCAUAUGUAUGGGUCUUCGAUGAGCAAUCAACGUAUUGAGUCCUGGUGGUCCAUAUUGAGAAAAUCAAGAGCUCAGUUUUGGAUGCAGUUGUUUGGGGACCUGGCAGAUGCAGGACACUUUAAUGGCAGCCACGAACACCAGUGUCUACUCAGAUUCUGCUUCACCAGUGUUCUGCAAAAAGACCUUGAUGAGUGUGCUGAUCUCUGGAACAAGCACAGGAUUCGGCGCUCCCGACUUGCAUCAUGUCCUGGAGGAAUACCAAAUUAACUCUACCUUUUACCUCACAGGUUUGCUUCAAGGGACUGUGGAUUUGCGGUUGAAGAAAGUCAAUUAAUAAUGUUUCCUGAGUCAGUGCAGACCAUCAACUCAUGUGGCGACCCAGACAUUCAAGAGUAUCUUGAACUCUUAAUGGAACAAAAUACACUAGUUAGACCAGAUCAUUGGGAGACCACCUCAGAGCUGUAUAUUACACUUAAAGGAAUAGCCAGACUUUAAAUGUUUUCUGUGAAACACCUGUCGAACACAACAGAACUGAGCAGGAUAUAAACCUGAAAACUCAGUUUUACUCAGGCAUAUGAGCCUUGACUACAUGCACAACACCAUGCUCUUUGCAUUAGAGGACCCAUUCAUCUCAAUAGUAUACAUGUAUAUCAUAUAUAAUAGUAAUAUA